rnacentral:lncRNA from 1 species
CAAGGCCGAAGGUCCACGGAGCUUGGUCAGGAGUAAAGGAACCGUCUGUGUUGCUUUCUGGGCACUCUUAAUGCCUCAUGUUUGUUUUUUUUUCUUCUCAUUUUGGCGCACGAGUUCAGUUCCGCAAAGGCGUGUGGGGUCUCCCCGGACCAGCGAUUGAACACGUCUCCCGCGUUGGCGGGUGGAUUCACCGAGCCGCCAGCGGAGCCCGGUACCCAUUCUGAAUAGUGAUGGCGCUUCCACGAGCGGGCCUUCCCAGUUUGCUGUUAAAGGAAUGGACCGCAUGUCUGUUGCUUCCUCGAAUGUCUUGAUGCCUCUUUUUAGACCCAUGAGUAUAUUCCUGGAACAUCCUUUCAAUUCCAAUCAUCUUCAAAAGGCCAAACUUUGCUUCUCUGAGGCCUGGCUUGCUUCCACUGAGGUUCCGCUCUACCCCUCUGAGUCCAGACUUUGCUACUCUGAGGCCCUGCUCUGCCCCGCUCCACACUGAGGCCUGGCUCACUUCUCACUGCGGUUCCGCUCUCCUCCUUGAGGCCUGACUCUGCUUCUCUGAGGCAAGUCUCCGCUCCUCACAGAGGCUUGGCUGUUCCUCCCUGAGGCCCUGCUCCACUCUUCGGUAUGGCCGGGCUCUGCUCCUCACUGAUUCCCAGCUCUGCUCCUCAUUCGGACCUGAUUAUGCUCAUCUCAGACCUGACUAUAACAGGAGUCUCCAUCAAUAUGGAACUUAAAACCACAACCUUCACAUACUUUAAAAUUGUUAUAUUAAAAAUAAAGAUAAUUUUUGGCAACAGUGUAUAGAAAUUGGAACUUUUAAAUGUUAGUUGUCAAAAUGUGAUAUGGUUCAAUCUACUUAUGCAAAACUUUGGCAUCUUAUCAAAAAUAUAAAAAUUCAGUUAUCAUCAGUUUCAAAAAGUCUGCUCUUACAUAUAUACCCAAAGAAUUUUAAAUAAAUGUUGAAAUAAAAGUUUAUACCAAUAUUCACAGCAGCACUGUUCU